AAACUACUCCCUCCGUCCCAAAAUUCUUGUCUUAGAUUUGUCUAGAUACGGAUGUAUCAAGUCACAUUUUAGUAUUAGAUACAUCUGUAUCUAGACAAAUCUAAGACAAGAAAUUUGGGACAGAG
rnacentral:pre_miRNA from 1 species